UUCCCCUGCAAUUUCACUGCUCAAUUCACUGUCAUUUAGGAGUUAAAUCACUUUGUUUCUGUUUAUGCAGCCCUAGCCACACCUCCCCUGGCUAUGAUUGACAGAGUCUGCAUGAAAAAAAAACUGGUUUCACUUUCAAACAGAUGUAAUUUACCUUAAAUAAUUGUAUCUCAAUCUCUAAAUUGAACUUUAAUCACAUACAGGAGGCUCUUGCAGGG